rnacentral:rRNA from 1 species
AUUUUCCACAAUGGACGAAAGUCUGAUGGAGCAACGCCGCGUGCAGGAUGAAGGCCCUUGGGUUGUAAACUGCUUUUAUACGGGAAGAAACACCCCUUCGUGAAGGGACUUGACGGUACCGUAUGAAUAAGGAUCGGCUAACUCCGUGCCAGCAGCCGCGGUAAUACGGAGGAUCCAAGCGUUAUCCGGAAUCAUUGGGUUUAAAGGGUCCGUAGGCGGGACAAUAAGUCAGUGGUGAAAGUCUGCAGCUUAACUGUAGAAUUGCCGUUGAAACUGUUGUUCUUGAGUAAUUAUGAAGUGGUUAGAAUAUGUAGUGUAGCGGUGAAAUGCAUAGAUAUUACAUAGAAUACCGAUUGCGAAGGCAGAUCACUAAUAAUUCACUGACGCUGAUGGACGAAAGCGUAGGUAGCGAACAGG